GAUGAACGCUGGCGGCGUGCCUAAUACAUGCAAGUCGAGCGAACAGACGAGGAGCUUGCUCUUCUGACGUUAGCGGCGGACGGGUGAGUAACACGUGGAUAACCUACCUAUAAGACUGGGAUAACUUCGGGAAACCGGAUCUAAUACCGGAUAAUAUGUUGAACCGCAUGGUUCAAUAGUGAAAGACGGUUUUGCUGUCACUUAUAGAUGGAUCCGCGCCGCAUUAGCUAGUUGGUAAGGUAACGGCUUACCAAGGCAACGAUGCGUAGCCGACCUGAGAGGGUGAUCGCCCACACUGGAACUGAGACACGGUCCAGACUCCUACGGGAGGCAGCAGUAGGGAAUCUUCCGAAAUGGGCGAAAGCCUGACGGAGCAACGCCGCGUGAGUGAUGAAGGUCUUCGGAUCGUAAAACUCUGUUAUUAGGGAAGAACAAAUGUGUAAGUAACUAUGCACGUCUUGACGGUACCUAAUCAGAAAGCCACGGCUAACUACGUG
rnacentral:rRNA from 1 species